UCGAGAAUCUUCCGCAAUGGGCGAAAGCCUGACGGAGCGACGCCGCGUGCAGGAUGAAGGCCCUCGGGUUGUAAACUGCUGUCAUCUGUUAAGAAUGGUCCGUCGUCAAUAGCGGCGGAUUUGACAAAAGCAGAAGAGGAAGUCACGGCUAACUUCGUGCCAGCAGCCGCGGUAAUACGAAGGUGGCAAGCGUUGCUCGGAAUUACUGGGCAUAAAGAGCGCGUAGGUGGCGCGUUAAGUCGGUGGUGAAAUCCUAUGGCUCACCCAUAGAACUGCCAUCGAUACUGGCGUGCUUGAGGGCAGGAGGGGAAAGUGGAACUCCAGGUGUAGCGGUGAAAUGCGUAGAUAUCUGGAGGAACGCCGGUGGCGAAAGCGACUUUCUGGACUGUACCUGACACUGAGGCGCGAAAGCUAGGGGAGCAAACAGGAUUAGAUACCCCCGUAGUCC
rnacentral:rRNA from 1 species